UACGUAGGGGGCAAGCGUUGUCCGGAUUUAUUGGGCGUAAAGAGCGUGUAGGCGGCCAGAUAAGUCCGCUGUGAAAUCUCGAGGCUCAACUUCGAGCUGUCGGUGGAAACUGUCUGGCUAGAGUCCGGAAGAGGAGAAUGGAAUUCCUGGUGUAGCGGUGAAAUGCGCAGAUAUCAGGAAGAACACCCGUGGCGAAGGCGGUUCUCUGGGACGGUACUGACGCUGAGACGCGAAAGCGUGGGGAGCAAACAGG
rnacentral:rRNA from 1 species